rnacentral:lncRNA from 1 species
CUGCGAGGGGAGGGGGCUCAAGAUGUAAGCAGCGAAGAGAUCUCGGGCUCUCGCAAUGCGACAUUCAGCUGCGUCACACCUCAGCCGCAGCUGCAGCUCAGAGAGGCCUUCCUUGCCUCCACCACUUUCGCCCAGGCCUCCGCUGCCGCUGCCACCUCUGGUGUAAUCACCUCGGCCCAGCCGCGCCCCGCCCAGCGCUCCUGCUGCCUUCACCGCUGCCACCUCCUCAGCCCCGGCUUCCGCCGCCACCACCCAAGCAUCCAUUUGAAUGGGAGCAACUGUUUGCUGAUGUGUGAAGUGGUAGGAGGAAUGAGCCUGUGCAUCACAGAAACUUCAAUUCAGAUUCUCCCUAACACCUUUAGGUGAGCAGGGCUUCUCUAGUAGCUCAGAUGGUAAAGAACCUCCCUGCAAUGCAUUAGACCCAGAUUCGAUCACUGGGUCUGGAAGAUCCCCUGUAGAAGAAAAUGGCUGGCUACCCACUCCAGUAUUCUCGCCUGGGGAAUUCCAUGGACAGAGUGGCCUGGCGGGAUACAGUCCAUAGGUUGCAAAGAGUUGGACACGACUGAGCAACUGACACUUGGGGGAGUGGGAGAUACAACAUAUUGGGUGUAAGAUAGGCUCAAGUAUGUAUUGUACAACAUGGGGAAUAUAAUCAAUAUUUGUAAUAAAUGUAAACAGAAACAAAUCUUUAAAAAUGCA